GACGAACGCUGGCGGCGUGCUUAACACAUGCAAGUCGAACGGAAAGGCCUCUCUUGGGGGGUGCUCGCGUGGCGAACGGGUGAGUAACACCUGAGUAUCCUCCCCUUGUUUCUGGGUUAACUCCUGGAAACUGCGGUUAUUACCCGUUAGGCGCUCUUGCUCCAUUGGGGGGGUUUGAAACUUUCGGCGGUUGGGGGUGUCUUCGCGGGUUAUCAGCUUUUUUGGGGGGUAGUGGGUUAUCAAGGCUUUUACGGGUAGCCGGCCUGAGGAGGUUACCGGGCACAAUGGGACUGAGAGGCGGCCCAGACGCCUACGGGGGGCAGCAGGGGGGAAGAUUGCACAAUGGGUGGAAGCCUGAUGCAGCAAAGCCGUGGGCGGGAAGACGGCCUUCGGGUUGUAAACCGGAUUCGAUCAUGACGAAGCUUUGUGUGACGGUAGUGGGUAAAGAAGCACCGGCUAACUACGUG
rnacentral:rRNA from 1 species